UACGGGAGGCAGCAGUGGGGAAUAUUGCACAAUGGGCGGAAGCCUGAUGCAGCAACGCCGCGUGAGCGAUGAAGGCCUUUGGGUCGUAAAGCUCUGUCCUUGGGGAAGAAAAAAAUGACGGUACCCUUGGAGGAAGCCCCGGCUAACUACGUGCCAGCAGCCGCGGUAAUACGUAGGGGGCAAGCGUUAUCCGGAAUUAUUGGGCGUAAAGAGUGCGUAGGUGGUUUUGUAAGCGCGGGGUGAAAGGCUAUGGCUCAACCAUAGUAAGCCUUGCGAACUGUAAGACUUGAGUGCAGGAGAGGAAAGCGGAAUUCCUAGUGUAGCGGUGAAAUGCGUAGAUAUUAGGAGGAACACCAGUGGCGAAGGCGGCUUUCUGGACUGUAACUGACACUGAGGCACGAAAGCGUGGGGAGCAAACAGGAUUAGAUACCCUGGUAGUCCACGCCGUAAACGAUGAGCACUAGGUGUCGGGGCCGCAAGGUUUCGGUGCCGCAGUUAACGCAUUAAGUGCUCCGCCUGGGGAGUACGCACGCAAGUGUGAAACUCAAAGGAAUUGACGG
rnacentral:rRNA from 1 species